rnacentral:rRNA from 1 species
CUAUGAAUAUUAGCUGUUUUUAAAAUAAAUUAAAUAUAACUGAUUUCUAAUUCCUUAUAAACUUUAAAAACAUUAUUAUGUUGAGUAAAGGAGAUUAAAAUUUAACAAUUAGUUGUUUUUAUUUAAGUACCGUUAGGGAAAUUCAUAUUAAUUACUUUUAAGCAAAGGUUAAUACUUGUACCUUUUGUAUCAUGGCUUAGCUAGAAUUAAAUUUUAAAUAAAAUUUCUAGAAAAUUAGUGAGCUACUUUAUUUUCUCAUCUUAGUGAGUAAAUAGUGAAUGUUGCAUAAUUCUUUAAAAAAACUAAAGUAGAAAUGAUAUUUUUUUCGCACUAAUUGAUAGCUAGUUUUUUCUUAAAUGUAUAGAAGUACUUCUAAUUUUAACUAUAAAAUAAAAUCAACUAAAUUUAUUUUAUAUAUAAAUUAGGUUAGAUCUUUGAGGAUUAGCUCGAAGAUAAUAAAACUAAAAUAUAAAUCUUAUUUUAAAUUUAAGCUUGAAAAUAGCUUUAAUUGAGAGUUUGUUAUAAUUCAUUAAUUUUAAUUAAGAUAUAAUUAAUUUAUUUUACUGUAAGAAAAAAAUUUUAAAAAUCCAUAAGUAAAAUAUAUUAAUGCUAAGAUGAGUAUUUUUAAUAUAUUAAUUUCUAAAUAAUAAAAUUAGAAAACUUUAAAUUCAUAAUAUAAAUAAAUCUUGAAAAGGAACUCGGCAAAUUAAAUUGCUUUGCCUGUUUAUCAAAAACAUGGCUCUAUGAAACUAUAAAUAUAUAGAGUCGGACCUGCCCAGUGAAUUUUUUUAACGGCCGCGGUACUCUGACCGUGCAAAGGUAGCAUAAUCAUUUGCCCUAUAAUUGAGGGCUAGUAUGAAUGGUUUGACAUAAGCAAUACUGUCUCUUUAAGAUUUUCUAGAAUUUGAUUUAUAGGUGAAGAAGCCUAUAUAAAAUUGAUAGACAAGAAGACCCUAUCGAGCUUUAAAUAAAUAUACAGGAAUACUAUAGUUACUAUAACAUAUAAAACUAUAUAAUAUUUUGGUUGGGGCGACUGAGGAACAAAUAAAGCUUCUUUAAAUACUAAAACUUACAAGUAAGGAUCCAAUAUUACUGAUCAAAGGAAUUAGUUACCGUAGGGAUAACAGCAUAAUCUUUUUUGAGAGCCCAUAUCGAAAAGAAGGUUUGUGACCUCGAUGUUGGACUAAAACUUCCUAAAGAUGCAGAAGUCUUUAAGGGUUGGUCUGUUCGACCAUUAAAGUUUUACAUGAUCUGAGUUCAGACCGGCGUGAGCCAGGUCAGUUUCUAUCUUCAAUUCUAUUUUUAACCUUAGUACGAAAGGACCAGUUUAAAAUAAAAAUUAUUAAUAAUGAUAAAAUAUAAUCACAAAAUAAAUAGUCAAAUUAGCAAAGUUAAUGCAAU